rnacentral:ncRNA from 1 species
AAUCGGCUGUCAGAUCGGCAGCUUCCACCGGUAACGGUGGUUGAAAAAUCGGGUGAAUUCAGGGAACCCUAACGCGGCUUCCAGGCUGCAACGGGAAUCCUGAGCCAAGCCUCGAGACGGUUCGGGGAAGGUGCAGAGACUAGAGCGAGAGCUCGUACUUCGGCGAGGUUCGCCGCGGGAAGCGCCCGACACCCUUCGUGGGUGAUGAGAUAGUCCAAGCCUCGGUGAAAGCCGGGG